rnacentral:tRNA from 1 species
GAGAUUGUGAUUUAAUUGGUUAGAAUAUCAUCUUGUCACGAUGAAUAUUGCGGGUUCAAAUCCCGUCAAUCUCG